CAGAACUUUUUACAAACCGUGGUGUUAACCCUUUCUAGCCCAAAGAGAUCCUGGUGACAUGACUGGAGGAGGGAGGGAGGGAGGGGUGGGCACUAUUUAUUCAGCAGCUCAUGAUGAUCCCAUGACCUUCAUCUGUGUGGGACGGCGACUGAGCAGGACUUUAUCAACAGGAGCACAGUUUGUUGCUUGUGCUUAUGCCAGGGAAGGUUGACUUAAUCCUUAGCCAUGAAAUAUGUCUUCAGGGCUGCUGUAGUUGAUGUAUAUUUCUAGCAGAGGCUGGUGCUGGACCAGAAGGCCUCUUUUUGUUUUUUUUUUUUAUAUAUAUAUAUGAUUUAUUAUUAUCUCAAGAUCUAUUGUGAUCAGCAUAUAAAUAUCCUCCAUCUCCUUGAGCUAAUCCAAAGGAGCCCUGUGGGAACUGGGAUGUUUGAGUUUCUGUUUAUAGUAGUUGCCUUGAGCCUUAACCUUCUUUUAGUGACAGCUGGAAGAGUCGAGUGUGGAAGCAUGAAAUGAGCUGGCAGUGUUAUUGUUUGGGUCUGUGCUCCCCUCGACUGCCCCACACACGGAGUCUGUCAGGCCUCUCCCCUCUGAGCUGUCUCUGCUGAUGUGUUUUAUGAGUCCACUUCAAUUUCACAUUCCUGAACAGUUAAGCUGUAGCAAGAAACUGGAAAUCCAAAGGGGUCUGUUCCUGCUUUUUUAUCCUUUUGCUCACCAGCUGAGGUUGACCAUUACCAGAUUAGAGAAGCAAUCAUUGGUGCAGCCCCUUGUGUGCAGGUCCAUGUCCUCCCCCUGGGCUCUGAAACCAGCAGGGUCAUUCUGUGUGUGUCCCCUCAGUGUCCCCCAGCCCUGCCCUUGCAGCACUGAGAGCAGAUUUGGCAGCACAAAGGCCCCUGGGUCCCUGAGGCAGAGCCCUCCCUGCCAGGGAGAGAAGGAUGGAUGGGGAGCCCCUGUCCCAGGUGCAGGAAGGAGGAGGAGGAGGAUGAUGAUCCCUCUCCCUGCCAGGGUGCAGGAGAGGGGCCGUGAGGAGCUGCUCUCCCUGCUGGGUGCAGGAUGGGGAGGGGGCUGAGGAGCUGCAGAUUUGGGACUGUAGCAGUUCCUUUAGGGGGAAGAAGGGGGAGUGUGGGAAGUGCCCAUUCUGCACUAUUGGAAUCUUGUGGAGUCACUGACAGGAACGGGAUGUCCUGCAGAGAUGCUCAGUUGAUGUCCUUCUCCAACAUCCCUUGCUUUCAACUUAUUUUUUAUUCCCCUGCUCUGUUUCUUUCCUCACAGUUCCACACCCAGUGAGCAAAACUCCAUGGAAGGGUUUUGCUUCAAGGCACAGGUCAGGAGCAUUUGACUGCUCCAAAAAGGUGCCCAGGGAGGAGCUGGCUGGGUCUGCACGUCUCCAGCACCACCAGCACUCCUAAAACACCAAACCCCCGUGCAGGGAGCAGGAUCAAGUGUUGAUCUUCUUUGUUGGGUGAUGUCCUGUACUUUAUGCGUGUCUCGUGCUCUUUACACUCUUCCCACAGGAGGUAUUUUGGCAAAGGCUCUGCUCUGGUGCUCUGGGUUCCUUUUGCCAGGCCCAGCUCCGUGUCCGACCGCGCUGCCACGACGUGGAGGGUUUGGUUUUGGUCAGCCUCCCUUGGUUAGCCAGUUGUGUAUUAGAAACUGAACAUAUUAAAAUUGUCUUAAAGGAUAAUGUUCCUCAAUUAGUGUUUGGGUUUUUUAAUUCAUGGAUGAAAACUGUCACUUUAGCAUGUAGAGUCUCUUACAGAAUCCUGUGCAGUGAUUCUAGAAUUUUGAAACUGUAUGAUGUGUUACAUUCACAAAUUUAUUUGCUAUCAACAUUCCCUGGAAAAAAAAAAAAAGAAAAGAAAAAGAAAACAACAUACCACAAGCUGCUGUAAUGAUUUUGUGUCGAGAUGAUCCAAUAAACUUUCAAAACAAAGUUAAAUUUUUGGCUUU
rnacentral:lncRNA from 1 species